rnacentral:rRNA from 1 species
AUUGAACGCUGGCGGCAUGCCUUACACAUGCAAGUCGAACGGCAGCGCGGGGCAACCUGGCGGCGAGUGGCGAACGGGUGAGUAAUAUAUCGGAACAUACCCUAGAGUGGGGGAUAACGUAGCGAAAGUUACGCUAAUACCGCAUACGCACUAAGGUGGAAAGUGGGGGAUCUUCGGACCUCAUGCUCAUGGAGUGGCCGAUAUCUGAUUAGCUAGUUGGUGAGGUAAAGGCUCACCAAGGCGACGAUCAGUAGCUGGUUUGAGAGAACGACCAGCCACACUGGAACUGAGACACGGUCCAGACUCCUACGGGAGGCAGCAGUGGGGAAUUUUGGACAAUGGGGGCAACCCUGAUCCAGCAAUGCCGCGUGAGUGAAGAAA